rnacentral:tRNA from 2 species
GGAGAGGUGGCUGAGUGGUUGAAAGCACUGGUCUUGAAAACCAGCAGGCGUGCGAACGUCUCGGGGGUUCGAAUCCCCCUCUCUCCUCCA